GAUGAAGAACGUAGCGAAAUGCGAUAAGUAAUGUGAAUUGCAGAAUUCAGUGAAUCAUCGAAUCUUUGAACGCACAUUGCGCCCGCCAGUAUUCUGGCGGGCAUGCCUGUUCGAGCGUCAUUUCAACCGUCAAGCCCCCGGGCUUGUGUUGGGGACCUGCGGCUGCCGCAGGCCCUGAAAAGCAGUGGCGGGCUCGCUGUCACACCGAGCGUAGUAGAUUUUAUCUCGCUCUGGGCGUGCUGCGGGUUCCGGCCGUUAAACCACCCUUUUAACCCAAGGUUGACCUCGGAUCAGGUAGGAAGACCCGCUGAACUUAAGCAUAUCAAUAAGCGGAGGA
rnacentral:misc_RNA from 1 species